rnacentral:rRNA from 3 species
UCCUGGAAACGGGUGGUAAUGCCGAAUGUGCCCUUCGGGGGAAAGAUUUAUCGCCUUUAGAGCGGCCCGCGUCUGAUUAGCUAGUUGGUGAGGUAACGGCUCACCAAGGCGACGAUCAGUAGCUGGUCUGAGAGGAUGACCAGCCACACUGGGACUGAGACACGGCCCAGACUCCUACGGGAGGCAGCAGUGGGGAAUCUUGCGCAAUGGGCGAAAGCCUGACGCAGCCAUGCCGCGUGAAUGAUGAAGGUCUUAGGAUUGUAAAAUUCUUUCACCGGGGACGAUAAUGACGGUACCCGGAGAAGAAGCCCCGGCUAACUUCGUGCCAGCAGCCGCGGUAAUACGAAGGGGGCUAGCGUUGCUCGGAAUUACUGGGCGUAA